GACAGAGGGUGCAAACGUUGCUCGGAAUCACUGGGCGUAAAGGGCGUGUAGGCGGGACGGUAAGUCGGGCGUGAAAUCCCUAGGCUCAACCUAGGAACUGCACUCGAAAACUACCAUUCUUGAGUGUCGGAGAGGAAAGCGGAAUUCCUGGUGUAGAGGUGAAAUUCGUAGAUAUCAGGAGGAACACCUGUGGUGUAGACGGCUUUUCUGGACCAUAGCUGACGCUGAGACACGAAAAGCGUGGGUAGCAAAACAGG
rnacentral:rRNA from 1 species